rnacentral:rRNA from 1 species
GACGAACGCUGGCGGCGUGCUUAACACAUGCAAGUCGAACGGAAAGGCCCUGCUUUUGUGGGGUUCUCGAGUGGCGAACGGGUGAGUAACACGUGAGUAACCUGCCCUUGACUUUGGGAUAACUUCAGGAAACUGGGGCUAAUACCGGAUAGGAGCUCCUGCUGCAUGGUGGGGGUUGGAAAUUUUCGGCGGUUGGGGAUGGACUCGCGGCUUAUCAGCUUGUUGGUGGGGUAGUGGCUUACCAAGGCUUUGACGGGUAGCCGGCCUGAGAGGGUGACCGGCCACAUUGGGACUGAGAUACGGCCCAGACUCCUACGGGAGGCAGCAGUGGGGAAUAUUGCACAAUGGGCGGAAGCCUGAUGCAGCAACGCCGCGUGCGGGAUGACGGCCUUCGGGUUGUAAACCGCUUUCGCCUGUGACGAAGCGUGAGUGACGGUAAUGGGUAAAGAAGCACCGGCUAACUACGUG